rnacentral:lncRNA from 1 species
UCAUAGGUUCACUCCUUUUUCCUUGGCCAACAUCUUUAAAUCCUUCACUCACUUGAGAUUCAUUAAUCACAUCACACAUAUCCUCAAGUGGUUGGAAAGUUUUACUCACAAGUUGGGCAGCAACUUCCUCCGGGAAGCUCUCAACGUAAGGUUCUUGGACAAUCGGAUUUUGUGGGUAGAGUUUGGGUAGCAAUUGGCGUAUAAUUUCAAUGUGCCAUUUCAUAUAUUCAAUAUUGUCAUUGAUACGAUCACAUGUGACAUUGAAAUUAUGGGCAACCAUUGUACCUAACAAAAAUACACAACAAACAAACUUGUUAGGUCAAAAAUGCCUCACCACACUCUCACUCUCGGUUUUACCUCACACUUGGUUUCACAAGUGUUGAAAGCUGGCUUGUACUUCGUGAGUGAUUGAGUGUCGAGUCUACUCUUGUCCCGGAAUGGAGUUUUGUUUGAAACUCAAAUGAAAUCUUGUAGGAAUUAAGUCAAGAACUAACAACGAAUUCAAAAAUAUAAAAGUACACAACAAACAUAAACACGAACAAAUAGACACAAAACUAACUUACAAGCUAGUAGGAGAUUACUAGGUUGUCAAUUAGUGUUCGAACCAACAAACGAACUAAGAGACAAUAAAAUGAAACUAAGAAAUCUAAAAUUUGAG